rnacentral:tRNA from 1 species
GCCUGGGUGGCUCAGUCAGUUAAGCGUCUGACUUCAGCUCAGGUCAUGAUCUCACAGCUUGUGGGUUUGAGCCCUGCAUCAGGCU